UACGGAAGGCAGCAGUGGGGAAUAUUGCACAAUGGGCGAAAGCCUGAUGCAGCUAUGCCGCGUGUAUGAAGAAGGCCUUAGGGUUGUAAAGUACUUUCAUCGGGGAGGAAAAAACAAAACUAAUAAUUUUAUUUCUUGACGUUACCCGAAAAAGAAGCACCGGCUAACUCCGUGCCAGCAGCCGCGGUAAUACGGAGGGUGCUAGCGUUAAUCAGAAUUACUGGGCGUAAAGAGCACGUAGGUGGUUUUUUUAAAGUCAGAUGUGAAAUCCCUGGGCUUAACCUGGAACUGCAUUUUGAAACUGAAAUACUAGAGUAUCGUAGAGGGAGGUAGAAUUCUAGGUGUAGCGGUGAAAUGCGUAGAUAUCUGGAGGAAUACCUGUGGCGAAAGCGGCCUCCUAAACGAAUACUGACACUGAGGUGCGAAAGCGUGGGGAGCGAAACAGGGAUUAGAUACC
rnacentral:rRNA from 1 species